rnacentral:rRNA from 1 species
CCUACGGGAGGCAGCAGUAGGGAAUAUUGCUCAAUGGGGGAAACCCUGACGCAGCAACGCCGCGUGGAGGAUGAAGGUUUUCGGAUUGUAAACUUCUUUUGUUAGAUAAGAUAAUGACGGUAUCUAACGAAUAAGCACCGGCUAACUCCGUGUCAGUAGCCGCGGUAAUACGGAGGGUGCAAGCGGUACUCGGAAUCACUGGGCGUAAAGAGCGCGUAGGCUGGAUAGCAAGUCAGAUGUGAAAUCCUAUGGAUUAACCGUAGAACUGCAUUUGAAACUGUUAUUCUAGAGGAUGGGAGAGGUAGGUGGAAUUCUUGGUGUAGGGGUAAAAUCCGUAGAGAUCAAGAGGAAUACUCAUUGCGAAGGCGACCUGCUAGAACGUAACUGACGCUGAUGCGCGAAAGCGUGGGGAGCAAACAGGAUUAGAUACCCCAGUAGUC